GACUCAGUAGCACAUGGUGUGCGUCUGCUUCAUGUGACAGAUAUUUUCCGACUCCUCUGCAGGAGGUCCCCUGUUCGACUUGGGGCUGGGUCU